AGAACGAACGCUGGCGGCAUGCCUAAUACAUGCAAGUCGAACGAACUCUUCGGAGUUAGUGACGCACGGGUGCGUAACGCGUGGGAAUCUGCCCCUUGGUUCGGAAUAACAGUUGGAAACGACUGCUAAUACCGGAUGAUGACGAAAGUCCAAAGAUUUAUCGCCAAGGGAUGAGCCCGCGUAGGGAUUAGCUAGUUGGUGAGGUAAAGGCUCACCAAGGCAACGAUCCUUAGCUGGUCUGAGAGGAUGAUCAGCCACACUGGGACUGAGACACGGCCCAGACUCCUACGGGAGCAGCAGUAGGGAAUAUUGGACAAUGGGCGAAAGCCUGAUCCAGCAAUG
rnacentral:rRNA from 1 species